rnacentral:tRNA from 1 species
AAUAAGGUGCCUGAUAAAAGGGUUACUUUGAUAGAGUAAAUCAUAUAAGAAUAGUCUUAUCCUUAUUA